rnacentral:tRNA from 1 species
GAGAAUAUAGCUCAGUGGUAGAGUACCUGCUUAGCAUGCAUGAGGUCCUGGGUUCAAUCCCCAGUACCUCCA